CCUACGGGAGGCAGCAGUGGGGAAUUUUGGACAAUGGGCGCAAGCCUGAUCCAGCAAUGCCGCGUGAGUGAAGAAGGCCUUCGGGUUGUAAAGCUCUUUUAUCAGGGAAGAAACGGUGGGGGCUAAUAUCUCCUACUAAUGACGGUACCUGAAGAAUAAGCACCGGCUAACUACGUGCCAGCAGCCGCGGUAAUACGUAGGGUGCAAGCGUUAAUCGGAAUUACUGGGCGUAAAGCGUGCGCAGGCGGUUUUGUAAGUCUGUCGUGAAAGCCCCGGGCUCAACCUGGGAAUUGCGAUGGAGACUGCAAGGCUUGAAUCUGGCAGAGGGGGGUAGAAUUCCACGUGUAGCAGUGAAAUGCGUAGAGAUGUGGAGGAACACCGAUGGCGAAGGCAGCCCCCUGGGUCAAGAUUGACGCUCAUGCACGAAAGCGUGGGGAGCAAACAGGAUUAGAUACCCUGGUAGUCCACGCCCUAAACGAUGUCUACUAGUUGUCGGGUUUUAAUUAACUUGGUAACGCAGCUAACGCGUGAAGUAGACCGCCUGGGGAUACGGUCGCAAGNUUAAAACGUCAAAGGAUUGACGG
rnacentral:rRNA from 1 species